CCCUGUGCAUAGAGGUAAAGGGUCCUCAGGCAACAGGACCCCAUCCAGGUGCCAGAACAAGCCCAGAAGUCAAGCACUGAGAGGACUCUGAUGAUCGAAUAUGAAAGUAUUUGUAAAGCACUUAGCACAGUGCCUGGCACAUAGUAGACCACUCGAAGAUGGAGCCAUCAAAAUUAUCCUUCUGAUCAACCGCUGAGACCAUGUUGAAUUAAGCAGUGCACAUGUGUCUGUGGGAAAGUGGCUUUAUUGGGAAUCAGAAGACUUGGAUCUGAAUUUGGGUUCAGUGGGACCUUCUCCAGACUUCUUCAGUUUCCAUCAUCAUUAAAAUUUCUUCAAGACCCAAAUCCUGGGAACUUAAUAAAUGCAUAUUGAAUUGAAUAGAAUUUCCUGCACUCUCACAGGCUUGGUACUUCACAGAAUUGGAGAUUUGGAAGGCAUCUCGGCAGGAUCUCAUCCUUGAACAUGCCUGAUAAAUACUUGUACACCUGUGCUUGAAGACCUCCUUCCUAGGCAGCCUAACCCCUGGGUACAGCUCAGUUAAAUUUCUGUUGUGUAUUCCCGGAACCUAGCCCAAUGCCCAGCCCAAACACAGA